rnacentral:lncRNA from 12 species
AUGUCUGGUGCCUCGCGAAGGAUGCUCUUCCCCCGGGGCUGUCGAGGCGGACCCCCGCAGACAGCUCCGCGCGCCGAGACCCGCGCCCGGCUGCAGGGGGAGGGGAUCCGGGCGCCCCCUCCCGCCUCCGCGCCCCGCCCGCCACCCGCCGCCCGCCGCCCGCCGCCUCACCUAUCAGAUUUCCCGUGCGCCUCGCCGCGCCCCUCCUCCCGCCUCCUCAAUGCCGAGCGGAGGGGCAGCCGCCCUCGGCCUGGACCCGGCGCCGGCGACGACCGGCCGCGCGCCUCCCCGUGUCGCCGCGAUGCGGCUGUGAGCUCACUGCGGCUGCAGCCCGCCGGGCCGGGGGGGCGCGGGGAGCGCGGGCAGCGCGGGGCGCACGAGAGAGGAGGAACACCCUGA